UUUAAGAUACAACUGUGGGUCCUUUUGGAAGUUCCAGUUUAUUAAUAAUUAUCUUUACUCUGGAUAUACCUUUUGGGUGAUCCAGUACUAAAGAUGGAAAGGCUCUUUUUAGAGUCAAAGUGGGAAGCCACUUUUUAAGGUCCAUGUUCCUUUUAUAUAUGAAGAGCUUGCCUUUAUAUAAAGGUUGUUUUAAAAACAUCUUUACUGCAGAACUAUUGAUGUAAUAUUUUGAUCCUAACAUUUUUGCUACCCCUGAUGAAGUCAAAUAGACGAAACGCGUUGGGUUUAUCAGCUACAAAUCAGUAAUCCAGUUGAGGAUAACGCUCCCUUGUACCAAGUUUACACCUUGUUAAGGUGAGGGAGUUCGUACAUCCAUAUCACCUACUGGAUAUUUAUGGAAUCAUAAAAUAAUUUGUUUUCAUGUACAAUAGUUCAUAAGACCUUCUGUAUAAGGCUUUUUAUGAAUUCAUUUUGUUAUUAAAUAAUUUUAUGCUAA